AAAGCCAUCAGCUAAAAAUAAAACUGCAACUAUCAAAGUGAAUUUGUAGAAAAUGAGUGAUAGCUCAGAGUGCUUAGUGUUUAUUUAAUUACUUAUUUCAAUUGUAUUUACAAAAUAAGUUGUGAUUUUGUUUCGUUUGUUUGUUUGCCCAUUAAAUCUCGUCGCGGAACUGGUUUGCAUUUUGUAUCUUUAAUCGCUGCAGCUCGUUUCUGUGUGGAUAAAAGUGAAUGAAACCCUAACGUUUAAACGCCGCCAUAAACACCAAAUAACAAAUUUUCUGGCAAACAUGGCAUGUCACGGUCCCAUUAAACGUAGAAAAUCAGCCCAGAAAUUCAACACGACGACAACUUUUCGACUGUCCCAGAAAGCAAAUAUGUAUAGUGUACUUGUGUUUCUUAACGCUGAGGAGUGGACCAUGACUAAUACUCAGUCAACUGGAUAAGCUGGACCAAGGACAUCCAUUGAUGGCGGAAUAUAAAGACACGUCUUAUGUGACAAGUGCUGGCUAAACGUCUGAGGUUAUCGCAAUCAUUUUCGAUUCUCGGGCCCCAUCCCUGUUGAAAAAUCAGCCGGACAGCAGCAACCACCGAACAGUACACAGGACGACCGGAAGUGAGGAAAACGCUUGUAAAAUCAGUCGCACACGAGUGCGAGCGAGACACGAGCGAACGGGCCGAAAGGAAACGACAAUUACGAGGACAUGCCGGCUUGCUUUUCUGCUUUUCCUGUCUGCUCCUUUCAGUUGCGGCCGUGCAAUCGUCGGGUCAACAACGCCGCGUGUCCGAUUUCGAUCUACAAAUUAUAAUACAAAUUUUCACAUCUGGAUUUGGUUUCAUCUUUAUCCGCAUCUCGAUCCGCGACGACGCGUAAUUUUCAGCACUUUUGGACUAAGGCGAUUCUGUGCGACCUCGUAAACGUAUACUGAAUGUAUCCUGAGUGUAUCCUAUCCGGUAUACCUUCAGUAUACGUAACACGAGAAAGCACAAGCAACGUGGGAUGUGAAACACUUUUUAAGACUGCUUAAUACACGUAGCACUUUGUUAUUUGGUAUCACACUUUCUUAUAAAUACACAAUUUAAACAUAUAUAUUUCAA